rnacentral:rRNA from 1 species
UACGGAGGGGGUUAGCGUUGUUCGGAAUUACUGGGCGUAAAGCGCACGUAGGCGGAUUGGAAAGUUGGGGGUGAAAUCCCGGGGCUCAACCCCGGAACUGCCUCCAAAACUAUCAGUCUAGAGUUCGAGAGAGGUGAGUGGAAUUCCAAGUGUAGAGGUGAAAUUCGUAGAUAUUUGGAGGAACACCAGUGGCGAAGGCGGCUCACUGGCUCGAUACUGACGCUGAGGUGCGAAAGUGUGGGGAGCAAACAGGAUUAG